AUUCUGGUCCUGUGCAGGGUGUAGCCACCUGCCUGGCUAGUCCCAUGUUGGGACCGGGAGGUCAAGCCUCCUAGCCCUAUCAUGGGCGUACUGGACAGCCAGGACAAAAAGUCCAU
rnacentral:lncRNA from 1 species